UGUUGUAUGUGUUCAUGAUAGUGA
rnacentral:siRNA from 1 species